GACGAACGCUGGCGGCGUGCCUAAUACAUGCAAGUCGAGCGAGACUCUUCGGAGUCUAGCGGCGGACGGGUGAGUAACACGUGGGCAACCUGCCUGUAAGACUGGGAUAACACCGGGAAACCGGUGCUAAUACCGGAUAAUCCUUUUCCUCUCAUGAGGAAAAGCUGAAAGUCGGUUUCGGCUGACACUUACAGAUGGGCCGGCGGCGCAUUAGCUAGUGGGUGAGGUAACGGCUCACCAAGGCUACGAUGCGUAGCCGACCUGAGAGGGUGAUCAGCCACACUGGGACUGAGACACGGCCCAGACUCCUACGGGAGGCAGCAGUAGGGAAUCUUCCACAGUGGACGAAAGUCUGAUGGAGCAACGCCGCGUGAGCGAUGAAGGCCUUCGGGUCGUAAAGCUCUGUUGUUAGGGAAGAACAAGUACCGGAGUAACUGCCGGUACCUUGACGAUACCUAACCAGAAAGCCACGGCUAACUACGUGCCAGCAGCCGCGGUAAUAC
rnacentral:rRNA from 1 species